GAUGAACGCUGGCGGCGUGCCUAAUACAUGCAAGUCGAACGCAGAGGGAAGGAGCUUGCUCUUUCCGGAUGAGCUGCGAACGGGUGAGUAACACGUGGAUAACCUCCCUGUUUGAGUGGGAUACCUUUGGGAAACACGAGCUAAUACCGCAUAAUCUAUUUUGUCGCAUGAUUCAUGAUUGAAAGAGGGUUUUGCUUCCCUAUCAGAUGGACCUGCGUCCGAUUAGCUAGUUGGUGAGGUAACGGCUCUCCACGGCGGCGGUACGUAGCCGGCCUGAGAGGGGGGACGGCCACACUGGGACUGAGACACGGCCCAGACUCCUACGGGAGGCAGCAGUAGGGAAUCUUCGGCAAUGGACGGAAGGCUGACCGAGCAACGCCGCGGGAGGGAAGAAGGUUUUCGGGUCGUAAAGCUCUGUUGAUAGGGAAGAAAGAAAUUGAGACGAAAAAGUUCACGCAUUGACGGUACCUGACCAGAAAGCCACGGCUAACUACGUG
rnacentral:rRNA from 1 species